UACGGAGGGGGCGAGCGUUAUUCGGAAUUAUUGGGCGUAAAGGGCGCGUAGGCGGCUUGACAAGUCAAAGGUGAAAUCCCUCGGCUCAACUGAGGAACUGCCUUUGAAACUGUCUGGCUUGAGGCCGGGAGGGGGUAGCGGAAUUCCCAGUGUAGCGGUGAAAUGCGUAGAUAUUCGCAAGAACACCAGUGGCGAAGGCGGCUCACUGGCCCGGUACUGACGCUGAGGCACGAAAGCGUGGGGAGCAAACAGG
rnacentral:rRNA from 1 species